UCUCCCUCACUCGCCGCCAUCUCGCGUGCAUCUCCGCCACACUCCGCCGCCGGUUCCUUCUCCGGCUCGUCCUCUGCGCCAGCGACGCUGUCCUUUUCUUCACCAUCACGGCCGCCUCAGCAGCAGCAAUAGCCGCAGCCGGAAGAUGGCGCGGGGAUGGCGGACAUCGCUGGUAGGAGCGGCAAGUGGCCGCUGCUUCUCGGCUACGCUCUGCCUCCUCCACCCUUCUCUGCUGGUCCCUUCUCCUCCCCAUCAGCAAGCACACAUUGGGGAUGAUUUUCUCAUCCUCGUUGCACCAUCCUCAGGUGUACACAAGGUGUUUGUGGAAAUGCCUGAGGACAAUAAUUGCUUCAGAAGAUGACGAUGUAUGUGCAUCUUCUUUUUGUUUGAAAGGGCAUGCCUUUUACUAUGGAUCUUGCAAUAGUGUGGUACUUCACGCAUUAGAUAUGGAGCAGUUACGAAAAUAUUAGGUGUGUUCUAACGGAAGGCUAUUGAAGUAGAAAAAUAGACCUAUAUCUUGCUGUUUGAGUAGGUGUAUUCUAAAGGAAGAUGAUGAAGUUUAAUAGAAGAAUGGGACCAUAUCUUACUAUUCCAGUGGGUUCAUGGAGAGCAUCUAAUGGAUGUGCUUGCAGCCAUGGAAGUGGAACUCAUCUAUUAUCAUAUCCAUAAGCUUGGUUUGCAUGUGUCUAAUAAUCCAAAUCCAAAUCCUUCACCUGCCCCAUCUGCUACGUCUUCGGCAGCCAAAAAUUCAGCCAGGUUAUUUGUUUCAUACUCAUUGGAUCAUUUGGUUGAGCAAAGUUAAAUACCAAAACUGAGCUGUUUGGUCAACUAGCUUAAGCAAUAGUCUAGCAAUUCAAUUAAUUUUUGUAUCGACCAAUACUGCAAGCGUAUUCACCACGGUUAGGUGCUCUAGGAGCUACAUAGGUGGAUAGUUGACAUGUGUUCUGGAUCUUUCUGUAUAUUUCUGUAUAUCUAUGUUGUGCUUGUCUUUCUUUGAUGGAAGAUGUUUCCUUUUUACUGGAAUUAAAAAGGUGUUGAUUAGCACAUUCCAUGUUGCUUGAUUAUAAAUAAGUUAACCACUUAAAAUGGUAUAAGUUGACAGCUUAAAAUGUUACAUUGUGUGCGUUGUCAUUGAAUUCCUUUAUAAGGUACUCCCUUCUUUUGUUCUCCAAAUAUUGUAUAGAAGAUUGAGUGUUCAUGCAUGCAGCUGGGUUUUCUGAGUUAAACUUACUGAUUAGUCUGUAUCAGCUCCUAAAUAGGUAUUGAGUUUCUAGAAAGUUUUCUGCUUAAUGAUUUGACCUGCCAAUGAUUUGUGUGACACAGAAAAAAGGCGUUGUUGGUUUCUCCUCUUGCACGUUGGCUAAGCUGAGGAGGAUAACAAUAGAAAGACAGACCGGGUAUUUAUUGAUAUAGUUCGGCUGGCUAAAAUUCAUCUUUCUUAGUAGCUACAGCAGUGUCACAUAUAUUUACAUUUCAGCAUAGUUUGUCCAGUGGUUCAGACAUCCUUAGUGGAAAACGGUCUUCCCUAGAAAUAUAUGGCUCUACAAUAUUAUUUGGCUAUUAAACAUUUUAAAUGAACUGCGAUUUCCCUGGAAUAUAUGGCUCUACUAAUUGAGAAAUUAAUUCUUAGAACAAAUGAUAUCAAUAUAUAUGUUGCUGGGAGCGAUUGACCAAUCGGUGGAAUGUCUAGCUCAUGGAGCUAUCGUCCGAGGAUGCAGGUGGCCACGAAAACCAUUGUUUCAGAUUAUCCGUUGUUUCUGUAGUCCAUGCCGCCAAAUGAGGUCUGUUUUGGAGCAUCUCAAUUAUUUUUUAUCAUUUCUCUUUGAUUGUUCUGGUGGAUUACACUGAUGGACUGUUCAACGAGUAACUGCCAUGACCAGCUGAUCGUUUUACUUGUGGCUGUUGAAGGAUUACUUCUCUCUAUUUCUGUUGUUAUAUAACCUUGCUAUUUAAUCCCAUCCACUCUGUUCAGUUGAUGCAAAAACUAUGUAUCAUAUGUAAAUGUAUGUCGGGUGUGUGUCCGUGCGAAUAGCAAGGGUCUAAUCAUGCGGGAUUUUUUUCAGUACCCUGACAUACCUUAGUUGCCUAGAAAUGUGGAAGUGGGGGCAUGUACAAUCAAGAGCUCUCUCAGUUGUAAAAAUAAAUGAUGCUAGACAAACACAUGUUUUUCUUGGCGACACCUAUUUCUGUGUUAUUUCAGCAUUAUUAAAUGAUGCUAGACAAACACAUUAUUUAUUCUUGCUAAUAUUCGGGAUGUCAUGUUAUUUCAGCAGGUUGUUUGCAGAUACUCAGAUACGGAAUUAUGCACACACAUUGAUUAAACAGGAAUCGCAAGAGUUGGGGCCACUACGCGACAACUGUAUGCCUCCUCUUUUCAGGACCUGAAGAGGAAGUUGUUGCACUGCAAUUCAAAUGGAUCUUGUUCCGCAGCAUUUCCUGUUGGGUCACUGCUUAUGCUGAAGUAUGUUUCCGAUGUCCUUGGGUCGCCGCUGCUGCUCGAGUACAGGUUGCCGGCCUCCAUCUUAGCAUAAGGUUAAGCCAUGGUUGUCGAUGAGAUUCCAUCCAGGGUCUUGAUCAUGGCAGCUUCCAUAUCCAUUGUACAACACUAUACCCACGAAGUGUGAAGUGACGGUGACCUUCCUCUAUUGGUAUGUUAUAUAUAUCAAUAUAUUGGAGAAGUCUGGCUAUCCGUCGAGCAAACAGUGUAAAGGCUAUUGAUUACUGUAUACACUCAACACCCUGUAGUAAGACAUUUUGUACUGGUGACCAUUUACAUAGUGUUUCACCCAUCGGAUAGUUUUCUUAUUUAAUGUUUGAUGGUCUGUGAGCCUCAGAAUAUUCCUCUAUUUUCCUGAUUGUACAUAAGCGUGUGCUACUCUAUUUAUGAUUUCACGGGCUUUAUCCUAAUUUUAUUCUAUUGUC